rnacentral:rRNA from 1 species
UGGGGAAUAUUGCACAAUGGGCGCAAGCCUGAUGCAGCCAUGCCGCGUGUGUGAAGAAGGCCUUCGGGUUGUAAAGCACUUUCAGCGGGGAGGAAGGCGUUAAGGUUAAUAACCUUGGCGAUUGACGUUACCCGCAGAAGAAGCACCGGCUAACUCCGUGCCAGCAGCCGCGGUAAUACGGAGGGUGCAAGCGUUAAUCGGAAUUACUGGGCGUAAAGCGCACGCAGGCGGUCUGUCAAGUCGGAUGUGAAAUCCCCGGGCUCAACCUGGGAACUGCAUUGGAAACGGGCAGGCUAGAGUCUUGUAGAGGGGGGUAGAAUUCCAGGUGUAGCGGUGAAAUGCGUAGAGAUCUGGAGGAAUACCGGUGGCGAAGGCGGCCCCCUGGACAAAGACUGACGCUCAGGUGGGAAAGCGUGGGGAGCAAACAGG